AAAUAUUCAAAAUUGAAAGUCUUCCUUGAACAAUAAUUGAUUAUUGGGCUAUUUAAAGAGCUUGCUAAGAUGAAAUCAAGAAUAAUUUUUAUUUUCUGGAUCAGAUUAAGGAAAAGCUGUUGAGCUAAGUGUGGCCUGUCAGUUCCUAAGAAUUUUCUCUACCAAAUUCACUUUAUUCGCAGGAUCCUGGGACAACAGGAAAUGCUAUAGAAAAUGAUUUAAAUUUUCACAAUUGAAGUUUGCUAGAAGGCAAUGAAGUUAUUUUAUGUCCUGUAGAGUAAAGGGAACCGGACAUGAUAUAAGUAUUCAAGACCCACAUGGAUGCCUACCUGUGUGACCUACUAUAGCGAACCUGUUUAGCUGAGGGUUGAACAGAUGAUCUUCAGAGGUCUCUUCCAAGCCCCACAAUUCUGUGAUUCCAUGGACUUUCCUAAAUGAAACAGUUUGGACUACAGAGAACAGAAUUCAGUGCCCAUUGUGAUGCUCAUAAUUCUUGUGUUUUCACUUCCAUUCCAAAUGUUAUCAGUAGGAAGGUCUGUUUGCACUGGGUUAAAAUGAAAGUGGUAAUUUUACUGAAGGGAGCCUUUCCAGCAGUAAUUAAUCUAAUACAUUGAUUCUACAUUUUGGCAAACUUUGUGGCCUGUCACCAUUUCCUGAUUGUCUAAGCCAUGAGAUUCAAAAUGAAAUAAUAGUCUUUUGUUCUUAUCAAGUCUUAUAGAGACUGGUGCAUGACCAGUAGGCAGCCAUUAUAUUUCUCAUUCUAGAUGUGAGAGAGCUCAGAAAACCCCAGAAAAUGAGCUUGUGUUUCCACAACCCUAGAAAAUCAAUGUGUCACAGAUGUUACCUUGGACAUUUGCAGAUCAGAGAGGGGACUGCUAAACCUGGAACUUCCAACAGAUCUUUUCAAGCCUACGUGAAGGGUGAGAUUACGAUGUCCUUACUCAUAGUGACUAAUUCACAGUUUGCUACUUUCAAAUUCUAGCCUGAGUCUACACCCUGAGGUGUGUGUAGAAGGGAAUUCUGUUCAGUAUGAAUUAGCAGUUUCCAAAGUGAUUGGAGCUUUAUAAUACAUAUGCCUAUUUGGGUUAUCGAAAUUUGUUAGCUUUGAACACUUAUCAUUCCAACAGUAGUAAAGAAUACUAACAACAAAUAGCAAGGCACAAUUACUAUUCAGUUCUUCAAAGUAAGCUGUGAGGCACCGUGCCAAAGAUCAAGGAAGAGUGGGUUUUCUGAGUGCGAAUUACUGCACCAUAACUCAUUUUCUGGUAUACAAUCAGAACUUGCAAGAUCAUUAGGGAAAUCAGCUUUGAAAUAUUUCUAAAUCAAAUGCUGAUUUGAUC
rnacentral:lncRNA from 1 species